ensembl:lncRNA
CCCCCCCCCCAGGAGAUCGCAGCGCUGCACCGCGUGGCGCCGGAGACGUCAGAACGAAGGGAACGUUGCUGAUGGCGGCGGCUUUUGGGGACCCCCCCCUAUUUGAGUGCUUCGUGGCUGAGCCCCCCCCGGGGGAAAAGGCGCCCCCCGAUGGGCAGCCGCUGGCGGGUUAUGUGCUGUCCGUGUACACCUACAGCGCCCGGGGGGGGGCGACGCUCUACAUGGACAACCUCUACGUGCGGCCGCACUUCGGGGCCGGAAGUUGGGCCGCCGUCUGAUGGAGGAGGCAGCCAAGCCGCUCCCAUUACCGGCAAUGGGAUCGUCUUUGGGGUCGGUUGGGCUCAGGUUUCCACCCCACCCCCUUUAUGGGGUCAAAGGUUCCCCCGCACCCCAUUGCCAUCCCAUAAUACCAACCGACCCCCGCAAUGGGGCAGCGCCUGUGGGGCGCCUUGGCCCUAUUGCUCCUCUGCGGCCCUACAGCCGCUCCCGAUCUGCGCGACCUCCCCCGAAUUUGGGAUCCCGACACCGACGACCCUACAGCGGACGGCCCCAUAUCCAACGGCCCCAUAUCCCACAUCGCCACCCCAUUGCUUCUAUCCGCCCGCGGCUUCGCUCCACCCCACAGCAGCGCCGACCCCAUAGAGGAGGGGAUCCCAAUCUUUCGGGGCAUCAGCGGGUCCGGGGACACCGACCUUCCCACCACCAUCAGCAACCGCGACCCAAAACCCCAACCCCAUAACGACCUCACAGCUCACCACCGCCCCAACAAGUGGGGCUGUGCCGUAACGGCGGGGUGUACAUUAAUGGGUUCUGCCACUGCACCCCAUUAUUUUAUGGGGUCGAGUGUGAGUACGCCAAAGAGAGCGUGGAGAUCACCAACGCGACGAUGUCGGCCACGGUGACGAUGAGCGCUCAGGUGCUCAAUAGGGCCUUCAGCCCCGCGCUGGAAAACCCCAAAUCCCCCGAAUUCACCCAAUUCCAACUGGAGUUCCAGGAGAAGAUGAAGAAGCUGUAUGGGAACGUGGAGGGCUACGAGGGAGUGGAGAUCCUUUCCUUGAGAGAGGGCAGCGUCGUGGUGACGUACGAUGUGCUCCUUCGGGUCGCGGCGGGGACUGACGCCCCCACCGUCGUGGAGGACCUCGUGGAGGACCUCCUGGCGGCCACCGUCGCCAAUUGCAGCCAAUGCAGCGCGGUCACGUGUGACAUAUGUUUCAACACGUCCCACACCUCUGUAACCAACUACACCGUUCAGCCCCUGGAUGCAGCGCUCUGCCAGCCGCUGAUCCCGCCGUCGCUCAUUGGCUACUACAGCGCAAUCCCCGCCCCUUCCGGCGCGCUGUGCGUCAGCCGCUGCCACCCGCUGUCCGACCGGCCGUUCCCGUGCGUGCACGGAGCAUGCGCAGUGAGCGGCGAUGGACCGCGCUGCCAGUGAGGCCUUAAAGGGGCAGCGGCCCGAAAUUCGGGCUCUAUGGGGGCUCUAUGGGGGCUCUAUGGGGUCUCUAUGGGUCCCUAUGUGGUCUCUUUGUAUGGGAUCUCUAUGGGGUCUCUUUCUAUGGGGUCUCCUUGGGGUCCCUCUGGGUCCCUCUGGGGUCUCUUUCUAUGGGAUCUCUAUGGGGUCCCUAUGGGGUCUCUUUCUAUGGGGUCUCUUUGGGGUCCCUCUGGGUCCCUAUGGGGUCUCUUUCUAUGGGAUCUCUAUGGGGUCCCUAUGGGGUCUCUAUGGGGUCCCUCUGGGUCCCUAUGGGGUCUCUUUCUAUGAGAUCUCUAUGGGAUCUCUAUGGGGUCCCUGUGGGUCGCUAUGGGGUCUCUUUCUAUGGGAUCUCUAUGGGGUCUCUAUGGGGUCCCUCUGGGUCCCUAUGGGGUCUCUUUCUAUGGGAUCUCUAUGGGGUCCCUAUGGGUCCCUACGGGGUCUCUUUGGGCUCUCUAUGGGGGCCCUCUGGGUCCCUAUGGGGUCUCUUUGGGCUCUCCAUGGGCUCUCUAUGGG